rnacentral:rRNA from 1 species
CAGUCGCCGCGGUAACACGGAGGGGGCUAGCGUUGUUUGGAAUUACUGGGCGUAAAGCGCACGUAGGCGGCUUGGUAAGUUAGAGGUGAAAGCCCGGAGCUCAACUCCGGAAUUGCCUUUAAGACUGCCGAGCUAGCAGGUGAGAGAGGUAAGUGGAAUUCCGAGUGUAGAGGUGAAAUUCGUAGAUAUUCGGAAGAACACCAGUGGCGAAGGCGGCUUACUGGCUCAUACUGGACGCUGAGGUGCGAAAGCGUGGGGAGCAAACAGGAUUAGAGACCCCAGUAGUCCCUGUCUCUUAUAC